GGGGCCGACAGGAUUCGACAGCAUGUGCAACGGAUGUGUAAGCAUGCCGGGCGUUGUGAGCAGUCCCGUAAAAAGCAACUCUCAAUCGCUUUAAAUGGCGAAACGAACUAUGCGCUUGCGGCCUGAUUCACCAUGUGAAUCCGCCUAAUCCCGUUACCAGGUAACGCGACAAGCUGUCCUGCCUGCCUGCUGCCGUCUAAGGCAGGGUUCAGGGCAUCGUAAAUGAUGGCUAAUCAUGCGGGUUUCCGUACUGCAUGGUGAAACUCUUAACGGAAUAAGGCUGAUGACGGUAAGCAUUCCGCCUCACAUCAGCCCGACAAUCAAGCGGAUGCUAAGCAUGUAGAAAGCGCAUCUUUUCCUUGUCUGGACGUGGGUUCAAAUCCCACCGGCUCCACUU
rnacentral:tmRNA from 1 species